CGGACGGGUGCGUAACACGUGUGCAACCUGCCUUUAUCUGGGGGAUAGCCUUUCGAAAGGAAGAUUAAUACUCCAUAAUAUAUUGAACGGCAUCGUUUAAUAUUGAAAGCUCCGGCGGAUAGAGAUGGGCACGCGCAAGAUUAGCUAGUUGGUGAGGUAACGGCUCACCAAGGCGAUGAUCUUUAGGGGGCCUGAGAGGGUGAUCCCCCACACUGGUACUGAGACACGGACCAG
rnacentral:rRNA from 1 species